UACAGAGGUCUCAAGCGUUUGUUCGGAUUCAUUGGGCGUAAAGGGUGCGUAGGCGGCGCGGUAAGUCGGGUGUGAAAUCUCGGAGCUUAACUCCGAAACUGCAUUCGAUACUGCGGUGCUUGAGGACUGGAGAGGAGACUGGAAUUCAUGGUGUAGCAGUGAAAUGCGUAGAGAUCAUGAGGAAGACCAGUGGCGAAGGGGGGUCGUCUGGACAGUUCCGUGACGCUGAGGAGCGGAAAAGCGUGGGGAGCGAACGAGGA
rnacentral:rRNA from 1 species